GACGAACGCUGGCGGCGUGCUUAGCACAUGCAAGUCGAACGGAAAGGCCCUGCUUUUGUGGGGUGCUCGAGUGGCGAACGGGUGAGUAACACGUGAGUAACCUGCCCUUGACUUUGGGAUAACUUCAGGAAACUGGGGCUAAUACCGGAUAGGAGCUCCUGCUGCAUGGUGGGGGUUGGAAAGUUUCGGCGGUUGGGGAUGGACUCGCGGCUUAUCAGCUUGUUGGUGGGGUAGUGGCUUACCAAGGCUUUGACGGGUAGCCGGCCUGAGAGGGUGACCGGCCACAUUGGGACUGAGAUACGGCCCAGACUCCUACGGGAGGCAGCAGUGGGGAAUAUUGCACAAUGGGCGGAAGCCUGAUGCAGCAACGCCGCGUGCGGGAAGACGGCCUUCGGGUUGUAAACCGCUUUCGCCUGUGACGAAGCGUGAGUGACGGUAAUGGGUAAAGAAGCACCGGCUAACUACGUG
rnacentral:rRNA from 1 species